ACUCAACAGUUAACAAUUAAAAGGGGUGAGUCAUUAUUGUAAUAGCAAACCGUCUUUGAGCGGAUCCUUGAUCAAUAAGUUAGCCCUAAUCCUUACAUUAGAGGAGUUU
rnacentral:sRNA from 1 species